rnacentral:rRNA from 1 species
UACGUAGGGGGCGAGCGUUGUCCGGAUUUAUUGGGCGUAAAGAGCUCGUAGGCGGUUUGGUAAGUUGGAUGUGAAAUCUCCAGGCUCAACUUGGAGGGGUCAUUCGAUACUGCCAUGACUAGAGUUCGGUAGGGGAGUGUGGAAUUCCUGGUGGAGCGGUGAAAUGCGCAGAUAUCAGGAGGAACACCGGUGGCGAAGGCGGGUCUCUGGGGCAACAACUGACGCUGAGGAGCGAAAGCGUGGGGAGCGAACAGG